GAGGGGGCAGGGCUCAGCUCCUUUUGCAAGGGGAGAGGAGCUGAGUUGUAGGGUGGUGUGGUGUUAGUUUAUAGGAUUUAGUGCUAUUUGGGUUCAGGCAUGCAGCUCGAAAAAACAGAAAGCUGUAGGCUUUUUAUGCUUCUUGCAAAAAAAAAAAAACUGUAGGCUUUUAUAUUUUUUGCAAAUAUAUAUAUAUGCAUACUAAAACAAACAUUAAGAAAAGCAAGAGCGCAGGUCCUGCUGAGGGUAAGGAGUCAGGCUGCAUUGGCUCGUGGGUGAGCAGUCACAAGGCUGGGGGAGGGGGGAGUCUGGUUUCAGGGCCUGGGAGGAGAUCUGUGCAGAGAGUGGGGAUCUGCAGCUGCAGCUUUCUGGAUCUGCUGGGGGAGGCAGCAGGAGAGAGCAGCUGAUCACCACUGAGCUGUGCACCCCUGAAAGAGAAGAAAAGGAUGUGCAGCUUUAGCUGAAAAACCUACUGCAAGAACAUAGGAACUGCGGAGGAAGACUGAGACAAAGCAUGUCGAAGAGCGAAGGGGUGGCUGCCGUGGUCCCGACCUCCAAAGCACCAAUAGGGAGCAAGGGGGCAGAGGAGAAAAAAGAAGAGCCCCUGAAGAGGAGGCACGGGAAGGAGACCCGCGAGUCGAGUGGGAAUGGGAGGGGGUCGUCCCAGGACUCGGCGCCCGCCUGCGACAGAAUCGCCUUGGACGAAUCCUGCAAAAGGAGUAGCUGAGUCCCGGUUUUGGGGGAACAGACCACAUUAGGAGGAGGCCUGGAAGGCUACGUGGACGUGUGACCACAGAGAUGGUCGAGCAGAGAGCCACAGAUGAAGAGGCGUCAAGGGGGAAGAAGAAUACAAAAACAGACUUGAGAUUAACAACGGGUCACCCCUUCUAUUCCCGUCUCCCUCCGUAAGAGGUCCCCAUCCCCACCCUGCAGAGGCCACCAUGACCUGACGGCAUGCACCAGGCUGUCUCGUGCACCCCACUGGAGGGGGGCUGUGGGCCUCGGCAUCCCACCUGCAGACUGCUGACACCUAAGACCGUCUCAGUGGAGCCUGUGUCCUGACCAGAUGUACUUGGACUCUGACCGCCCUAGGAUUGGUGGUGUGGUCGGCCUGAGGGUUGUGCUCGCCCCGGAGCAAAGGUAUAGAGGGGCUGGGUCCAAAUCCAUUGCCAACAAAGCGGUGAUACUCGACAACCCUGUGGAACUGGAGCACGAAGGCUACUGCGCACCCUGAACAAGGACGAAGAGCGGAUGUUGUGAUCUGCAGAUGUUAAUGCAUCAAGGAGAAACUUGGGAGAGGUUGCUUCGUGUCAAGACGUUCUGCAUUAAAUACUUCUUUUGAGAGAAGGAACCCUUCUUCAGCUGUUAACCAGUCCGGUUUCCCCACAUACAGCUACUUCCAUGCGUGAGGACUGUAGGGGCAGACUCGGGUUACAUUGACAUGUAUGCAGGUCUCUGAUGGUUGGGCUUCCUUCGGUCUUUAAACUAAUAAAGCCUGGUCUACAGUAGGUGAAAUGCUGCAGCGAAGUGAAGUGACUUGCCCCAAGGUCACAGCAGAGUAAUGGGAGGACCAGAAAGAACAUCCAGGUCUCCUCUUCGUUGCUUCUUGGCUCCUGUUCCUUCCCCUACAGGAAAGAUUUAGGGAAUGGAUGAGGGAAGGAUACCAGGGGGAGGUAGUAUGAAAUUGGGGGGUACAUAAUGCCAAGAGCAUGCCCUUGGCUGAGCUCCGAGUGCUGCUUUUACAGCAGUGAUGAGGCCCAAAGGUGCACCCAGCUGGAGUGGGACAGGUAGAGAUGGAGGGAAAUUCAUCUCUUCUGCAUCUGACAUUCAACUGCUACUUGUAAAAAGAGUAAGGAGAACUCACCAGGAAAAGAAAUGUUAUCCUAAUAUAGGUUAAUGGCCACCCUCUAGUCAAGGGUUUUUUUUCCUUUUAAAAAAAUAAAUAAAAGCCCGAGCAAGUUGAUGGGCUUGCCAGCUGAUGAAUCUUCAUAAUCGUAUACAUACGAUUUCUCAUGUUCACAAGCAUUUCCUAUAUAGCUUUCUAGGGAUGGGAGUUGCAAAUAAUGCAGUUGUGUUGUUUGGCUGUUCUGAGCAAUAAAACAUGUGCAUUGAAA